ACAGGGUAAGUUAAGGGCCUAUGAUGGAUGCCUUGACAUAAAGAGCCGAUGAAGGACGUGGCGUGACUGCGAUAAGCCUCGGGGAGGUGUCUAGCAACCUUUGAUCCGUGGAUGUCCGAAUGGGGAAACCUAGCAUUGUUUAUCAAUGUUGUCCUGAAAAUUUUUUUUCAGGAAGGGAACUCGGGGAAGUGAAACAUCUCAGUACCCGAAGGAAAAGAAAAUAAUCCCGCCAAUGAGGCGGGGAUAUUCCCUAAGUAGCGGCGAGCGAAAUGGGAACAGUCCAAACCUAAUUACCGCAUCUCACUGCGUUUGAUGCGAAUUUCUAAUUAUUAAUUUCUAAUUUCUAAAUAAUGUUUUAAUUUCAUAAUGUUUAAAAAUUAAUUCAUUAAAAAUUUAAUAAAAAUUAAAAAUUGAAAAUUAAAAAUUCCAUUAUAUCGAGCGUAGCGAGAUGUGGUGGUUGGGGGUUGCAAGGUAAUAACACUAUGGAGCUUUAUGUCGGAGCCUGAUAGUAUAUCGGGCUUUGACAAUAAGGCUUCAAAAGGAGUUACAAAAUAAAGGCUAGUUAAUUGAAUCUUGCUGGAAAGCAGAGCCAAAGAGGGUAAAAGCCCCGUAAGUGAAAAUUCCUUUAUCUCCUAGUUAUUAUACUUAAGUACCUCGGGACCAGACUAUCCCGUGGGAAUCCGGCAGUACUAUACUGCCAAGACUAAAUACUCUUUAUGAUCGAUAGCGAACAAGUACCGUGAGGGAAAGGUGAAAAGUAGCCCGGUAAGGGCGGUGAAAUAGAACCUGAAAUCAUAGGCUUACAAAGACUCGGAGCCAUUGCUUCGCAAUGGAAGCACGAAAUUCAAAGCACCAAAUUCGAAACAAAUCUUAAUAAUUAAAUUCUAAAUUUUAAACAUUUGAAUUUAUAGUUUUGAUAUUGUUUGGGAUUUCUGAUUUAGAAUUUUGGAUUUCCAUUGCGGAGCGAUGGUAACGGGGUGCUUUUUGCAGAACGAGCCAACGAGUGUCUUAUAAUAGUUUGUUUAAUCCCUUCUAGGGAGGAGACGUAGAGAAAUCAAGUCUUAAUAGGGCGCAUUUGAUUAUUGUGAGACGACCCGAAGCCAAAGCGAGCUAUCCAUGACCAGGAUGAAGUCUCGACGAAAGUCGGAUGGAGGUCCGCACCCACUGGCCGUACAACACCAGGGGAUGAGUUGUGGAUAGAAGUGAAAAGCUAAUCGAGCUUGGUAAUAGCUGGUUCUUCCCGAAAUAGUUUUAGGGCUAGCCUUUUGUUUACGUCCUAGGGGGUAGAGCACUGGAUGGAGUAUGGAUGGAAUUUAUUCCGCCUACUCCAAUCAAACUCCGAAUACCUAGGAUUAAUUGCAAAGGAGUUAGACUGUGGGGGCUAAGCUCCAUGGUCGAAAGGGAAAAAGCCCAGACUGUCGUUUAAGGUCCCUAAAUUAAACUGAGUGGAAAAGGAAGUGAAGUUUCUCUGACAGCUAGGAGGUUGGCUUAGAAGCAGCCAUCCUUUAAAGAGUGCGUAACAGCUCACUAGUUCAGAGAUUUUGCGCCGAAAAUUUAACGGGGCUAAGUUUAAUACCGAAAACACAGAUGCCAUUGUUUCGCAAUGGAAGCACUAAAUUCUAAUAUCUAAACUCCAAACAAAUUCAAAAUCUCAAUGACCAAAAUUCAAAACAAAUUAAAUUAUCUGUUUUGAACAUUUGAAUUUAGAAUUUGUUUCGUAUUUGUAAUUUUGAAUUUAGGAUUUCCACUGCGAAACAGUGGUGUGGUAGGGAAGCGUUCUUUGCGCAUUGAAGCUAAAUCGUGAGGUUUAGUGGAGUUCAAAGAAGUGAGAAUGUUGGCAUAAGUAACCACAAUACCGAUGAGAUAUCGGUACGCCGAAAACCCAAGGUUUCCUUGGCAAUGAAAAUCAGCCAAGGGUUAGGCGGGCCUAACCUUGUUCCGAUAAAAUCGGACGCAGGGGAUGGACAGACGGUUAAUAUUCCGUCUCUUCAGCAUUUUUUGAUGGGAUGACGAAGUUUAGUAGUCUGAGCGGCUUAUUGGAUUGCCGUUCUUUGCUUGAGGAUGUUCGUUAGGUAAAUCCGGCGAACACGAGGCUUCGGCCUCAUGUCCAAGAGUCGAGAAAAGGUUUUUCUUCGGAAUUUCCGAUUCAGGUGAGCAAGCUUCCAAGAAAAGUCUCUAAAAUUAGAAAUGUUGAAUCCGUACCGCAAACCAACACAGGUGGGUAGGUCGAGUAGACCAAGGCGAACGAGUGAUUCCUCGUGAAGGAACUCGGCAAAGCAGCGGGUGUAACUUCGGAAUAAACCCUCCCACUCAUGCGCAAGCUUUGAGUGGGCGCAGCUAAAGAUUCCUGGCGACUGUUUAUCAAAAACACAGCUCCCUGCUAACUCGCAAGAGGAUGUAUAGGGGGUGACGCCUGACCAAUGCCAGAAGGUUAACGGUUGAGGUGUUCCGAUUUUUAAUCGGAAUGCUGAAGCCCGAAGCCCUGGUGAAUGUCGGCCGUAACUAUAACGGUCCUAAGGUAGCGAAAUUCCUUGACUGGUAAUUUCAGUCCCGCACGAAUGGCGUCACGACUGGGAAACUGUCUCCACGAGGAGCUCGGUGAAAAUGCAGUAGGGGUGAAGAUGCCUCUUACCUGCGGCAAGACGGAAAGACCCCGGAAGCUUUACUAUAGGUUCUCAUUGGAACAUUGUUUUGAAUGCGUAGCAUAGUGGGGAGGCUUUGAAAUCCCGAUUUCGGUCGGGAUGGAGCCGUCAGUGAAAUACCCAUCUUUUAACGUGAUGUUUCUAACUUUGGUUUGAUCCUUAGGACAGUGGGUGCUGGGUAGUUUUAGUGGGGCGCUAGCCUCCUAAAGAGUAACGGAGGCGCUUAUAAGGUCAGCUAGGCCCGGAUGGAAAUCGGGCUGAUAGUGUAAAGGCAUAAGCUGGCUUUACUGCGAGACGGACAUGUCGAGCAGUUGCGAAAGCAGAACUUAGUGAACUGAUAGUGGGUUAUAGAACCGCUAGAGAUUAACGGAUAAAAGCUACUCCGGGGAUAACAGGCUAAUAGCGUCUAAGAGUCCAUAUCGACGACGCUGUUUGGCACCUCGAUGUCGGCUUACCAAAUUUAGGAUAGGCCGCUAUUGGAAGUAAUUCCAAUUGACAAAACUUAACUAAUAACGGUGAAUGCUAUAUAAUAUAGUUAAUACCGUGGGAAGUUAAAGAAAUUUAUGCAAUUAUCUUCUGAACAAAAAAAGAUUCUUAUUGGCACUUUAUUAGGAGAUGCUCAUUUAGAAAAAAAUGGACAUAAUGUUCGUUUAAGAAUUGAUCAUACAGAAAAACAAAAGAAUUAUUUAAAAUGGAAAUAUUCAGAAUUUAGUAAUUUUACUCCAAGUAGUCCAAGAUUAAUUAAAACAAUAGAUAAAAGAUCAGAUAAUGUUUAUAAAAGAUGGCAUUUUUCUACAUAUUCUAUUGAUAUAUUUAAUUCUUAUUGGAAAUUAUUUUAUAAAGAUAAAAUUAAGAUAAUUCCAAAAAAUAUUAUUAAAUUAUUAAAUUCUCCUUUAUCUUUGGCUGUUUGGUAUAUGGAUGAUGGUUAUAAAAGAAAUGAUUGUAAUGCGUUAAGGUUGAGCACAGAUUCAUUCAAACUAGAGGAGCAAAAAAUAUUACAGAAAUGUUUAGAAAAGAAUUUUAACAUAAGAAGCACAUUGCAUAAAAAAAGAGAUUCAUGGAAUAUUUAUAUCCCGAGUUUAGAAGCUACAAAAUUUUGUAGAAUAAUUAAACCGUAUAUUAUUUCAGGAAUGGAAUAUAAAAUUUCUUUAACCCCGUAACGACUGAUUCCGAUUUUAUUUCGGAAGAGAUAGUGGGUACCAGAUAUUCUGGAAUUAAACCAUUAUCACACGUUGAGCCCCUAUUGAAUAAUAAAUAUCUAAUAGGGUGAUGAUAUAGUCUGUACACAUAGUGAUAUGUGAAUGAUAUGCAUCCUAUCCUGGGGGUGGAGAAGCUCCCAAGGGUUUGGCUGUUCGCCAAUUAAAAGGGUACGCGAGCUGGGUUCAGACCGGCGUGAGCCAGGUUGGUCCCUAUCUGCCGCAGGCGUUGAUGCUUGAGGGAAGUUGUCCAUUGUACGAGAGGAUCCGGAUGAACAAACCUCUGGUGUACCAGUUGUUCCGCCCGGAGCAUUGCUGGGUAGCUAAGUUUGGAAAGGAUAAGCGCUGAAAGCAUAUAAGCGCGAAGCCUCUCCCAAGAUUAAGCAUCGUAGAUUUGUAGAAGAUGACUACAUUGAUAGGCUCUAGGUGUAAGUCCCGCGAGGGAUUAAGCCGAGGAGUACUAAUAAAUCAUUUUACCCUGUAC
rnacentral:rRNA from 1 species